UGGGCUGUCGCCAAGCGGUAAGGCAACGGACUUUGACUCCGUCAUGACGCAGGUUCGAAUCCCGCCAGCCCAGCCA
rnacentral:tRNA from 1 species